rnacentral:rRNA from 1 species
GAUCAUGGCUCAGGAUGAACGCUAGCUACAGGCUUAACACAUGCAAGUCGAGGGGCAGCAUGGUCUUAGCUUGCUAAGGCCGAUGGCGACCGGCGCACGGGUGAAUAACACGUAUCCAACCUGCUGUCUACUCUUGGACAGCCUUCUGAAAGGAAGAUUAAUACAAGAUGGCAUCAUGAGUCCGCAUGUUCACAUGAUUAAAGGUAUUCCGGUAGACGAUGGGG